rnacentral:rRNA from 1 species
AGUUUGAUCAUGGCUCAGAACGAACGCUGGCGGCAGGCCUAACACAUGCAAGUCGAGCGAGGACUUCGGUCCUAGCGGCGGACGGGUGAGUAACGCGUGGGAACGUGCCCUUUGGUACGGAAUAGCCCCGGGAAACUGGGAGUAAUACCGUAUGGUGUCUUCGGACUAAAGAUUUAUCGCCAAAGGAUCGGCCCGCGUUGGAUUAGGUAGUUGGUGGGGUAAUGGCCUACCAAGCCGACGAUCCAUAGCUGGUUUGAGAGGAUGAUCAGCCACACUGGGACUGAGACACGGCCCAGACUCCUACGGGAGGCAGCAGUGGGGAAUCUUAGACAAUGGGGGCAACCCUGAUCUAGCCAUGCCGCGUGAGUGAUGAAGGCCCUAGGGUUGUAAAGCUCUUUCAGCUGGGAAGAUAAUGACGGUACCAGCAGAAGAAGCCCCGGCUAACUCCGUG